AUUGAACGCUGGCGGCAGGCUUAACACAUGCAAGUCGAGCGGGGGAAAGUACUUCGGUACUGGACCUAGCGGCGGCCGGGUGAGUAAUGCUUAGGAAUCUGCCAUUUAGUGGGGGAUAACAUUCCGAAAGGAAUGCUAAUACCGCAUACGUCCUCCGGGAGAAAGCAGGGGAUCUUCGGACCUUGCCCUAAAUUAUGCGCCUAAGUCGGACUAGCUAGUUGGUGGGGUAAAGGACUACCAAGGCGACGAUCUGGAGCGGGUCUGAGAGGAUGGUCCGACACACUGGGACUGAGACACGGCCCAGACUCCUACGGGAGGCAGCAGUGGGGAGUAUUGGACAAUGGGCGGAAGCCUGAUCCAGCCAUGCCGCGUGUGUGAAGAAGGCCUUAUGGUUGUAAAGCACUUUAAGCGAGGAGGAGGCUCUUCUGGUUAAUACCCAGGAUGAGUGGACGUUACUCGCAGAAUAAGCACCGGCUAACUCUGUGCCAGCCGCCGCCGUAAGAC
rnacentral:rRNA from 1 species